rnacentral:misc_RNA from 1 species
GAUGAAGAACGCAGCGAAAUGCGAUACGUAAUGUGAAUUGCAAAUUCAGUGAAUCAUCGAAUCUUUGAACGCACAUUGCGCCCGCCAGUAUUCUGGCGGGCAUGCCUGUUCGAGCGUCAUUUCAACCAUCAAGCCCCCGGCUUGUGUUGGGGACCUGCGGCUGCCGCAGGCCCUGAAAAGCAGUGGCGGGCUCGCUGUCACACCGAGCGUAGUAGCAUACAUCUCGCUCUGGGCGUGCUGCGGGUUCCGGCCGUUAAACCACCUUCAUAACCCAAGGUUGACCUCGGAUCAGGUAGGAAGACCCGCUGAACUUAAGCAUAUCAAUAAGCGGAGGA